AGCGUACACGGUGGAUGCCCUGGCAGUCAGAGGCGAUGAAGGACGUGCUAAUCUGCGAUAAGCGUCGGUAAGGUGAUAUGAACCGUUAUAACCGGCGAUUUCCGAAUGGGGAAACCCAGUGUGAUUCGUCACACUAUCAUUAACUGAAUCCAUAGGUUAAUGAGGCGAACCGGGGGAACUGAAACAUCUAAGUACCCCGAGGAAAAGAAAUCAACCGAGAUUCCCCCAGUAGCGGCGAGCGAACGGGGAGCAGCCCAGAGCCUGAAUCAGUGUGUGUGUUAGUGGAAGCGUCUGGAAAGGCGCGCGAUACAGGGUGACAGCCCCGUACACAAAAAUGCACAUGCUGUGAGCUCGAUGAGUAGGGCGGGACACGUGGUAUCCUGUCUGAAUAUGGGGGGACCAUCCUCCAAGGCUAAAUACUCCUGACUGACCGAUAGUGAACCAGUACCGUGAGGGAAAGGCGAAAAGAACCCCGGCGAGGGGAGUGAAAAAGAACCUGAAACCGUGUACGUACAAGCAGUGGGAGCACAGAGCAAUCUGUGUGACUGCGUACCUUUUGUAUAAUGGGUCAGCGACUUAUAUUCUGUAGCAAGGUUAACCGAAUAGGGGAGCCGAAGGGAAACCGAGUCUUAACUGGGCGUUAAGUUGCAGGGUAUAGACCCGAAACCCGGUGAUCUAGCCAUGGGCAGGUUGAAGGUUGGGUAACACUAACUGGAGGACCGAACCGACUAAUGUUGAAAAAUUAGCGGAUGACUUGUGGCUGGGGGUGAAAGGCCAAUCAAACCGGGAGAUAGCUGGUUCUCCCCGAAAGCUAUUUAGGUAGCGCCUCGUGAAUUCAUCUCCGGGGGUAGAGCACUGUUUCGGCAAGGGGGUCAUCCCGACUUACCAACCCGAUGCAAACUGCGAAUACCGGAGAAUGUUAUCACGGGAGACACACGGCGGGUGCUAACGUCCGUCGUGAAGAGGGAAACAACCCAGACCGCCAGCUAAGGUCCCAAAGUCAUGGUUAAGUGGGAAACGAUGUGGGAAGGCCCAGACAGCCAGGAUGUUGGCUUAGAAGCAGCCAUCAUUUAAAGAAAGCGUAAUAGCUCACUGGUCGAGUCGGCCUGCGCGGAAGAUGUAACGGGGCUAAACCAUGCACCGAAGCUGCGGCAGCGACGCUGAUGCGUUGUUGGGUAGGGGAGCGUUCUGUAAGCCUGUGAAGGUGUGCUGUGAGGCAUGCUGGAGGUAUCAGAAGUGCGAAUGCUGACAUAAGUAACGAUAAAGCGGGUGAAAAGCCCGCUCGCCGGAAGACCAAGGGUUCCUGUCCAACGUUAAUCGGGGCAGGGUGAGUCGACCCCUAAGGCGAGGCCGAAAGGCGUAGUCGAUGGGAAACAGGUUAAUAUUCCUGUACUUGGUGUUACUGCGAAGGGGGGACGGAGAAGGCUAUGUUGGCCGGGCGACGGUUGUCCCGGUUUAAGCGUGUAGGCUGGUUUUCCAGGCAAAUCCGGAAAAUCAAGGCUGAGGCGUGAUGACGAGGCACUACGGUGCUGAAGCAACAAAUGCCCUGCUUCCAGGAAAAGCCUCUAAGCAUCAGGUAACAUCAAAUCGUACCCCAAACCGACACAGGUGGUCAGGUAGAGAAUACCAAGGCGCUUGAGAGAACUCGGGUGAAGGAACUAGGCAAAAUGGUGCCGUAACUUCGGGAGAAGGCACGCUGAUAUGUAGGUGAAGCGACUUGCUCGUGGAGCUGAAAUCAGUCGAAGAUACCAGCUGGCUGCAACUGUUUAUUAAAAACACAGCACUGUGCAAACACGAAAGUGGACGUAUACGGUGUGACGCCUGCCCGGUGCCGGAAGGUUAAUUGAUGGGGUCAGCGCAAGCGAAGCUCUUGAUCGAAGCCCCGGUAAACGGCGGCCGUAACUAUAACGGUCCUAAGGUAGCGAAAUUCCUUGUCGGGUAAGUUCCGACCUGCACGAAUGGCGUAAUGAUGGCCAGGCUGUCUCCACCCGAGACUCAGUGAAAUUGAACUCGCUGUGAAGAUGCAGUGUACCCGCGGCAAGACGGAAAGACCCCGUGAACCUUUACUAUAGCUUGACACUGAACAUUGAGCCUUGAUGUGUAGGAUAGGUGGGAGGCUUUGAAGUGUGGACGCCAGUCUGCAUGGAGCCGACCUUGAAAUACCACCCUUUAAUGUUUGAUGUUCUAACGUUGACCCGUGAUCCGGGUUGCGGACAGUGUCUGGUGGGUAGUUUGACUGGGGCGGUCUCCUCCUAAAGAGUAACGGAGGAGCACGAAGGUUGGCUAAUCCUGGUCGGACAUCAGGAGGUUAGUGCAAUGGCAUAAGCCAGCUUGACUGCGAGCGUGACGGCGCGAGCAGGUGCGAAAGCAGGUCAUAGUGAUCCGGUGGUUCUGAAUGGAAGGGCCAUCGCUCAACGGAUAAAAGGUACUCCGGGGAUAACAGGCUGAUACCGCCCAAGAGUUCAUAUCGACGGCGGUGUUUGGCACCUCGAUGUCGGCUCAUCACAUCCUGGGGCUGAAGUAGGUCCCAAGGGUAUGGCUGUUCGCCAUUUAAAGUGGUACGCGAGCUGGGUUUAGAACGUCGUGAGACAGUUCGGUCCCUAUCUGCCGUGGGCGCUGGAGAACUGAGGGGGGCUGCUCCUAGUACGAGAGGACCGGAGUGGACGCAUCACUGGUGUUCGGGUUGUCAUGCCAAUGGCACUGCCCGGUAGCUAAAUGCGGAAGAGAUAAGUGCUGAAAGCAUCUAAGCACGAAACUUGCCCCGAGAUGAGUUCUCCCUGACUCCUUGA
rnacentral:rRNA from 1 species